CUCACGCCACUCUCCUCUUCUUCCUUUCCUUUUUCCUUUUUUCUUUCUCUUUUCUUCUCCUUUCUCACGCACCCACCAGCCUCCCUCUUCCUUUCUUUCUUCUUCCCAUUUCUCCUACUUCUUCUGUGCACCAGCCCAUGAGAGAUUGAGAGAGUGAGACGCAGAGAUGGAGAGACCCGUUAGUUCGAGUGACCCGCGACCCAGUGACCCGAGUAACCACCAGACCCGAAGCCUAGACCCGGACCCGAUCCUCCAUUAACGAACUCCGGCGAACCAGUGAUGGAUCGGCGGCCUGAGAUGCGGUUUCCGGCAACCCGUGAGCCCAGAAAACCCAAGGACCCGUGACCCGCCUAACCCUAGAGGAAGACCCGAUUCUUCAUGGCGUUUUCCGGCGGCUUUUCCGGCGGUCCAGUAGCGAUUUCCGGUGGAUUUGUUGAGGAAAAUCCCUAAGGCUUGUGUCGUGAUUGGAGACGUAGACUUGUUCUCCAAUGUAGAGUCCAAGUGACUAGAGUUCAAGGGAGUGUUCGAGUUGGAGUCCAAUGCAGCCAAGAUGAUGUUUCUUUGGCUGCAGGUACUACGGUAUAGUCGAUGGGUCGGUAGCAGUGUGCUUGGGAUAUUAUGACUGAAGCUCGCCGCGACAGUUGUAAUUGUCGGACCACGGGUUGUCCACUAUUUUAUAGGUUUGGUAUGGCUUGUGACGUUUGUGUCACUUAUUCUUUGUUAAGCCAUUAUUGUUAUUGUGUUAAUAAGACUCAAACAGAUAGAUGUUAAAUGGCUUUUUGUUGUAAUUAAUUUGUGAUAGAUAUAUAAGUUGUAAUUUCCGCUAUUCAGAUUUAUGUUUUCCGCUGCAUAGAUAGAUGUAUGUUAUACUCUGA